rnacentral:rRNA from 1 species
UUAGACUAGAAUAUACUAGAAUUUUAGAUGCCCGAAGUAAGAAGAGCUAACUGAAGUGAGUGCAGGCGUUUUAGAGCAACUUAAGUAUAAUGUGGUAAAAUUAUAUGCAUAAUAGCAGUUAGGGGUGAUAGGCCAUUCAAUUUUUACUUAUAACUGGAUCUAGCCGAAAAAUAUUUAGUAUUUAAGACAAAUUUGAAAAUCUAAGCUUUCAAAUAGAUAAAAAUGUGUAGGUAUAGGAGUAAUAGCAGCUUAUUAAUAUAAAAGUGCCUACCUCAACAUAAUAAUAAAACUACGAAAAAUUUUAUCCUGUAGGCUUUGUGUAUAUGCUAUAACUGUCUUUGUGUUUAAAUAAUGUUUAAAUUAGUACUGUAUGAGUAAAAGUUAUUAGGAAAUUCGGCAAAUUAAUCUCUCAACUGUUUACCAAAAACAUAGCUAGUUGAUGAUCAUAAUUAGUUUACUCUGCCCAGUGAAUAAAUUCGUUUUAACGGCCGCAGUACACUGACUGUGCAAAGGUAGCAUAAUCAAUUGGCUUUUAAUUGAAGUCGGGAAUGAAGGAGUUAAUGGGUGAAAGCUGUCUUAUAUUCUUUUUUUGAGAAAUUACUAAGCAAGUGCAAAUACUUGCGAACAGUAAUAAAAGACGAGAAGACCCUAUAAAUUUUAACUAAGGUAAUUUUAACCUAUCUCCGUUUUUGUUGGGGCAACAAGUUAACAAUUGAAAUUUCAUAAAUUUAACUAACUAACUUACAAAAUAAAGCGAGUUUUACUAAACAUGACUAAAUUACUAUAGGGAUAACAGCAUAAUUUUUAUUUAAGAUUGUGACCUCGAUGUUGGAUUAGGGACUUAUUAGAUAAACCAUUUAAAUAAGAGGUUCUGUUCGAACUGACACACCU